rnacentral:rRNA from 1 species
CAGUAGCCACGGUAAUACGUAGGUGGCGAGCGUUGUCCGGAAUUAUUGGGCGUAGAGGGAGCGCAGGCGGACAUAUAAGUCCAUCUUAAAAGUGCGGGGCUCAACCCCGUGAGGGGAUGGAAACUGUAUGCCUUGAGUGCAGGAGAGGAAAGCGGAAUUCCCAGUGUAGCGGUGAAAUGCGUAGAUAUUGGGAGGAACACCAGUGGCGAAGGCGGCUUUCUGGACUGUAACUGACGCUGAGGCUCGAAAGCCAGGGGAGCGAACGGGAUUAGAUACCCGUGUAGUCCCUGUCUCUUAUACA